GCCCGUUUCCUCAUGCUUGGGGUCUGGUUUAGAAAAACACACAGAUGGGUGCCUGGGGGGCUCAGUCGGUUGAGCGUCAGACUUCAGCUCAGGUCACGGUCUCACGGUUCGCGAGUUCGAGCCCCGCGUCGGGCUCUGUGCUGA